GUGGCCUGGUCGAGGAUGCGCUGGGCCAGUUCGGGGCUGGUCGCGGUCACGGUGACGUCGGCGCCCCGGUUCCAGCGGGAGACCAGC
rnacentral:tRNA from 1 species